GAUGGACAAAGCAUAUUGCUUCCCUAAUUCCCUUGCUCAUCAGUCAAUCCCUGCUCAUCUCCUCCAGUCCUCCUCCGUCGAUCGCAGGUAAUCAAUCCCAAACUUGGAUUUAAUUGCAUCUCUGGCUUGCUUCUUAUUUGUUACCCUAAUUGAUCAAUCAAGGGAGCUUUGCCGUUGUCGUUGUUUGGGGAAGAGGAGGAGGAGAGAGACAAGCAGGCGAGUCAGGAUUUGACCGGGUUGACUGAGAAUGAGGGAUUUGGGAGAAAGGAGUCGAAUUUGAAUGUGAAGAAGGGUGGGAUUGAUGAUUUGAUAUCCAAUUUGUAUGUUCAGAACGGGUCGGGUCCGAAUUCGGGUUCGGGUGGUGGUUUGAUUGGGAGGAGUAAUGGGAAUGGUGUUGAUUUGAAAUUUGAGGGUGUAGAUAUAAAUGGGAGCUCGAAUUCGAGUGGGGCAAAGUUGAAUGAGGAAGAAGGGAAUGGGGAUUUUGAUGAGGAGGAUGAUGAUGGAUGGGAAUUCAAGGCAGCAAAGCCAGAGCAAAGGGGUGGAAAUGAGAAUUCAAAGGAACAAGGGGUUGUGGAAGUAGUAGAGGUGAGAGCAGAAUCAAGUACAUUCGUUAACGGAGGAAUCCUAGUGGGUAUUGUUUAUUGUUAGAUACUUAGAUUACUUAUGAAUGUUUUCAUGCAUAUAUGCCAUUUUCCAAUUUGCUUGAAGAAUCUAGCGCCAAUUAGCUAAUGUAACAGUUCUAUAUUUUGUAAGUGUGCUGCGUGAAAAUUAGCCCAACCCAAUUUCAAUUCCUGGUUCCGUCCCUGUCUCUCUAUAUAUAUAUAGAAACCGAGAUGUGUUUGCGAAUAAUAUUAUGGAUUUACAGAACCCUUAUGUUGU